AGAAAAUCGGGGCACGCGGUCGUGGUGAUACGUAGGGGGAAAGGGUGAGCCGGAAUGAUUGGUCGUAAAGCGCGCGUAGGCGGUUUCUUAAGUCGGAUGUGAAAGCCCACGGCUCAACCGGUGAGGGUCAUUGGAAACUGGGAAACUUGAGUGCAGAAGAGGAGAGUGGAAUUCCAUGUGUAGCGGUGAAAUGCGCAGAGAUAUGGAGGAACACCAGUGGCGAAGGCGGCUCUCUGGUCUGUAACUGACGCUGAUGUGCGAAAGCGUGGGGAUCAAACAGGAUUAGAUACCCGUGUAGUC
rnacentral:rRNA from 1 species